rnacentral:lncRNA from 1 species
UAAAGAUUUAUUUAUUAUAUAUAAACACACUGUAUCUGUCUUCAGUCACACCAGAAGAGGGCAUCAGAUCUCAUUACAAAUGGUUGUUAAGCCACCAUGUGGGUGCUGGGAUUUGAACUCAGGACCUCUAGAAGAGCAGUCAGUGCUCUUAAUUGCUGAGCCAUCUCUACAGCCCCAGAAUCUUACUAUUUGGCUGCCUCUGAACUCAUUAGCCUUCUGUCUUGCACUGUAAAGGCCUAGGACUACAUGCGCUAACAGUUAAGACUCUUGACCCUCCUGUCUCUAACUCCCCAGGGCUGAGCACACAGGAAGGUGCCUCCACAUUUGAAAACUAUUGUUACUUUAUAAGUGUUUUGCCUACAUCUAUACACCACAUGUAUGCUGUACCUGGUGCAUGCAGAAGCCAAAAGAGAGCAUUAAUGUCCUUAGAACUGGAGUUAAACAGUUGUUGAGUACUGGGAAGAAAAUUCAGGUCUCCUAAAGAAGAGCAAGUGCUUUUAACCUCUGAGACCUUUCUAGUCCCCAUAGUGACUACAUUUUAAGUCAUUAUUCACAGAACAGAAUUAUGUUUUACAUAAAGUAUGCCCAUGUUCAUAUCCUCUUUCUUUUUUACUUAUUUUAGGUGUAAGUGUACAUAUGUGUGUACGUGCAUGACAUGGAAUACAUGUGGAGGUCAGAGGACAGCCUGUGGGAGUUGGUUCUCUCCUUCCACCAUGUGGGCAGCAGGUUCCAAACUCAGAGAAUCAGGCUUGGUGGCUUGCACCUUUACUAUCCGAUCCACCUCACCAGUCCCUGUGGACAUACUUCUACUAGUUUGAAUCUUGCAUUGUGCCCACCAGGGCUCCGAG